rnacentral:rRNA from 1 species
UACAGAGGUCUCAAGCGUUGUUCGGAUUCAUUGGGCGUUAAAGGGUGCGUAGGCGGCGCGGUAAGUCGGGUGUGAAAUCUUGGAGCUUAACUCCGAAACUGCAUUCGAUACUGCCGUGCUUGAGGACUGGAGAGGAGACUGGAAUUUACGGUGUAGCGGUGAAAUGCGUAGAUAUCGUAAGGAAGACCAGUGGCGAAGGCGGGUCUCUGGACAGUUCCUGACGCUGAGGCACGAAGGCCAGGGGAGGCAAACGGG